rnacentral:rRNA from 1 species
UACGGGGGGGAGCAAGCGUUGUUCGGAUUUACUGGGCGUAAAGGGCGCGUAGGCGGCCACCGCAAGUCGACUGUGAAAUCUCCGGGCUUAACCCGGAAAGGUCAGCCGAUACUGCGGGGCUAGAGUGCAGAAGGGGCAACUGGAAUUCUCGGUGUAGCGGUGAAAUGCGUAGAUAUCAAGAGGAAUACCUGAGGUGAAGACGGGUUGCUAGGCCGACACUGACGCUGAAGCGCGAAAGCCAGGGGAGCAAACGGG